rnacentral:rRNA from 1 species
UUGGAGGGCAAGUCUGGUGCCAGCAGCCGCGGUAAUUCCAGCUCCAAUAGCGUAUAUUAAAGUUGUUGCAGUUAAAAAGCUCGUAGUUGAAUUUCGGGGUUAGUAGGUUGGUCAUGCCUCUGGUAUGUACUGGUCUCACUGAUUCCUCCUUCCUGAUGAGCCGUAAUGCCAUUAAUUUGGUGUUGCGAGGAAUCUGGACUGUUACUUUGAAAAAUUAGAGUGUUUAAAGCAGGCUAACGCUUGAAUACAUUAGCAUGGAAUAAUGAAAUAGGACGUUCGAUCCUAUUUUGUUGGUUUCUAGGAUUGACGUAAUGAUUAAUAGGGAUAGUUGGGGGCAUUAGUAUUCAAUUGUCAGAGGUGAAAUUCUUGGAUUUAUUGAAGACUAACUACUGCGAAAGCAUUUGCCAAGGAUGUUUUCAUUAAUCAAGAACGAAAGUUAGGGGAUCGAAGACGAUCAGAUACCGUCGUAGUCUUAACCAUAAACUAUGCCGACUAGGGAUCGGAUGAUGUUAAUUUUUAAUGACUCAUUCGGC